AGAAACACAAGCAUGGGGCAGGUCCCUGCUAGCCUGACUCACACACACCGCAGCGUCACUGCCCAUGGCGACGGCGUUCCAGACUCACGCACACUCACCACACGCGUCACUGUGCCCAUGGCGACGGCCUUACUGACUCACACUCACCGCACAUGUCAUUGUGCCCGUGGCGACGGCCCUCCUGACUCACACUCACCGCACGUCACUGUGCCCGUGGCGACGGCCCUCCUGACUCACACACGCUCCCCGCACGCGUCGCUCUGCCCGUGGCGACGGCCUUCCUGACUCACACACACAACCCGCACGCGUCGCUCUGCCCACGGCAACAGUGUUCCUGCCUAUCAUCACAACAGGCGACUCAAGAACGUGACGUCAUGUGGACCCCGUGACCAAAACCAGGCCCAUACUACGCCCGUGAUGUUUCCUCUUUCAGGGUGCUGAGACCUGAGACCACACCUGACCUGCCCGGGGCGGCACAGUGAGGGUGACCUGUACCUCUGCUUUACCUGUGUGUCCUCUCUGAUGAGGAAAAGAGGCAGACCACAGAUGCAAACAGGCUGGGAUGCACUCCUCACAGGCUCUCCUGUGCCCAGCGUGCCUGGUCCCACCUCACCUCACCAGAGGGAUGUGCGGAUGCCAGGUGACUUGGGCACAGCUCCUCAGAGGUAAGAAUCACAUGUGACAUCACCUUGUCUGACCCCCUCAACUCACAGACAGUGCUAGGGCGCAUGAGCACCAAGGACAUGCAUGGCAGGGCUGCAGUCCCCUGAGUGCCAGCCCUGCCCUUCUGAGAGUCCAUCGAUUGUCCUGUCCCACCCAGUCACAGGUCUGGGGAGAACCAAGGGAGGGUCCCCAAGGGCCCCAGCUCCGGAACCUUCUCUGAUCACAGUCAGCCCCAAUCCUCACACACCCUUCCCACCCAGUUCUCUCCUGAAGCUUCUGGAGGAGGAUUUGCCUAACAUACAAGACAUUUUUUCAGCUAUACAAUCCAGACAAUUAGAAUUAAUAUUUAAUACUUACUUCCGAAAACCACUUAGAAAAGAGGCUGUGGCUGUUUAUUUCAAUUAAUUGGCCAUAUCGGUACCUGAGAUAGAAAAAAGGAGUUGAGAGAAUUACUAACUGGUCCUGUGGAUCCUCAGCGGCAGCCAUUCACGCGUCCUGAAUGCAACAUCUCAAGUGCCCAGCAUCGGGGGAAUUACAAUUACUGACAAAGAAUUGAGGAAUCCAGCCCUCCGUGUACUAAAUAAUUAUGAAAAAGUCUAACAAGAUUCAAUCAGUAGUUCUAGACUGUAUCAAUUGAGUUAAAGAGUAAAAACUCCCAUUUUAUAUCUAUUUACAAAUUAUAUUUCUAUGUUUAAAAAUAUUAGCAGUACUAACAUAAGACAGAAAACAAAACAAAAUAGAAGCAUCAAGAGCUUUUGGCAGGAGCUGAGCAUUUUCCCCUCCUUCCACAGAACCCUAAACAGCACAGACCCCAGAGCCCAGGAAUGCUCAGGUGGCCCAAAGUUAACCUUAACACACACAGACUGACUGGAACCCAGAAACACUCCUCUAUCCAUUCAGAAGCCCGCAGACAGAUCUGGGCGUGCUUAGCUGCUGACUAAAUCACCAGAGAACAAGACUGAGGCCAGAGAGAAACUGACUUCCAGGUCCUCUUUUCAGUUGCUUCCAUGUCAAAAGUCCACAAAAGAAAAAGAAUUACGUUCAAGAAGCAUCACUGGCAUUCCACGUAAAAAAGAGAGAGACCGUUUACUGAUACUGUUUAUUAAAACAGUGGAGGGAUACAGACAAUCUAACAAAAUAUAGACUGGGUUGAAUAUUAAACAAAAUUAAUUAUAAAACAUUUUGAUUCUUUGAUAGAGUGAGGAAAAGUCUUGCUAGGACUUCUUUUUGCCAUUUCUAAGCCAUAAAACCAAUGCAUAUUUCCAGAUCUUUGUACUGGAAAAAGCUAUAUUCCUUACAAUAACAUUUUCCUUCUCUUGUGUUGCCCUCUCUGCCCCUAGAGAUCUUUUUUGGUUACUCUUUGGAGGCAGGGUCUCACUCCCGUCACCCAGGCUCACCACAGCCUGGACCUCCUGGGCUAAGGUGAUCCUCCCACCUCAGCCUCAAAAGAAGCUGGGACCACAGGCAUGUGCUCCCAGCUAAUUUUUUGUAUUUUUUUGUAGAGACAGGGUUUCUCCAUGUUGGCCAGGCUGGUCUCAAACUCCUGGUUUCAAAUGAUCCACCUGCCUCAGCCUCCCAAAGCGCUGGGAUUACAGGCAUUGAGCCGCCAUGCUGGCAUGCCCCUAGAGAUCUUGAAAACACACAUGUAUUUCAAUAUGUCAAAGCAAAGGGCAAGUUGCUAAACAUAAGCUAAGGGGUCAAAAUAAAGCAAUUUCCCUAUGUAAAAACAUUUACAAGACAUUUUUGAAGAACAAAAAUUAUGUAUACGAAAUUAAACCUCACAGGAUUUCCGCUAGUCAUACUGGAGUAACAGGAAGCAGAUUUACCAUCUAAUCUUAAAUGAGAAAACCUCAUUUAAGGCAAAAUGGAUGAAAUGACAUCUGGUAAGGUUGCUGUACACAGGGCAGUGAGGGCUGGGACUCCUGAGUCGGAAGACCAGGGACCCUCUCUACAAAUGCUCUAACUUUCUUGCCGGGAGGCAUCUUCCAACCACAGGCACGGGAGGGAGCCCAAGUGGAGCACAGCCACUCGCUGAGUCGAGGAGACAGAGAUUGGAGUUCAGGGAGUCUGAAGUGACUGAAGGCUGCAGAACAGAAUUCCAGAGGGGAAGGAAAUAUGAAGAAAUACCUCAGAAGGAGUGCCCAGGAUCCUCAUGGCGCCCCCGAUGUCCUGGAUGAAUACUCAGAUUUUCACUGCUGGGGCCAUCUUCAUUCAGCUGGAAAAUGUGAAGUGCAACAGUGCAUGCACUCAAAUCGAUGGGCUAAAAUGAGGGAAAAGCCAAUAUCGACACACAUUUCCAACUCUCACUUAACUGCAACCAUACAAAUUAGAUGUUAAGGUCUACAAAUAAAAACUGAAUGUACAGUAUAAUCAAAGCUAGUUCUCAGAUUAGAUGAGAAGGCUAUUAUUUUAUUUCAGAUUGAGGAUUGGCUCUUUUGAAAGCUAAUACCCAUCCCUUGCUCUUUGGGCCCUACAUUUACUUACAGAAUGAAAAAGUGCCCUAAAUCCAGCCUCCGGGACGUUAUUAUAUAAAUACACUCACACAGAUGGGACCAAAAACUGAGUUUUAUCAUAUAAGGUUUUUUGUUUUUUUUUAAUUAACUUAUUUUUUGCAACGGGAUCUUGCUUUGUCGCCCAGGCUAGAGUGCAGCAGCACGAUCACAGCUCACAGCAACAUUAAAUUCCUGGACUCAAGUGAUCCUCCCACCUCCAGCCUUCUGAGUAGCUGACACUACAAGUGUGCGCCACCGCACUGGCUAAUUUUUUAAAACUCUUUUUAGAGACGGGGUCUUGCUAUGAUCCCCGGGCCAUUCUCCAAUUCCUGGCCUCAAGUGAUCCUUCCAUCCUUCUCCCACAGUGCUGGGACUACAGGCAUGAGCCACCUUGCCCAGUCGGUUUCCUAACUGUGUCUUUUUACAUUUGUUAUUAACUCAGAGAAAUGUUUACAUUGGUAGAUAGAAAUCUAUUUCAUUCUUCUUAAUGGCUAUAUUGUACAUAGUGUAGAUAUAUGGAAUUCCUACAUUUAUUAACUGACCUCUGGUGGACAGUUAAAAUAUUUCAAAUUGUUGGCUAUUAUUAACAGCAUCUAACAAACAUCUGUUCAGAAAGAUCUACAAAAUUGCAUGAUUAUCAGCUACGAUAAAUUCCUACAAGUGAAUCUGCAGUCAGAGAACAUUAGAACUUUCCCUGGGCAGCCCGUGCCCUC
rnacentral:lncRNA from 1 species